CUUUAUUUUGAGAAGAGACCUACAUAAACUAUGUCAGGAUACAUAUUUAAUUACACUUUCAUCAAUCAGUAGAUGGGGCAAUUAACAUAACACUGAAGAGUAUGAUAGCAUGAAGAAGACAACAGAGACAUAUUGUAAAUGAGUAUUUACAGCAGUAAUGUCAGGUGUUUGUUUUAUAUAUAUAUUUAUAUAUAGGUAAAAAAGUCUUUUCUUUUAACAAAAGUCAAGGAAAGUGUACACCAUUUGAAUGCAGCAGUAAGCUAUGUCCUUAAGGUGGAGCUAGAGAACCUUUGGGCUGAUUAAAGAACACACAGGAGUAAUAUUUUGCAGAGGGAGUUAAAGAGGAAAGAGUUGUGUACAGUGAUGGCUUUGGUGGUGCUAUAAAACAAAUUAUUUUUUCAUAUUUAAGCACAUUGUUCAUUGUUGUUUAGAUGAACUCCAAACUUUCAGACCUUUUCAUAAAACAGCAAGCUAGUUAUGUUAAUGUACACAUUACAAAUUAGACAUUUCAAUUACAUUCUGGUAUAUCUCAAAGCGGACUCUUUUUUAUUCUAGCAUCUACUAGAAUCUACACUAGAAGCUAUUGAUAAACCUUGUAAAGUACCAUUGAAGAUUACUUGUGAAACCUGGAAUUGCAUUCCGAUCAGAUUUUUAAGCAGGACUUUCAAUGACUAUCUUUUUCAUGUUAGAUGUGAUAUUAUUUUUUGAUAGAUUUAUCACUACUGAGCUUUCUCACUCAAUAUUUUCCAAUGGUAAUUAGUUUCAGUUGUUUAUUUUUCAAGAAAAACAAAAUAGGUAACAAAAUGACAGAGUUGAAUGACAUCAAUAUGCAUUCGCAAAUCCAAAACUGUACAAAUAUUCAAAUGAUCAAUUAGGUUUAAGCAGUAAAUAACAAUUGGUGCUGAGGGACUUGCAAGAUUUCAUCUUAAAUUGACCAAUUGGGCAAUGUCAACUGAAAUGGAGAUUUUUUUCAAGAUCUGCUAUUUUGCCUUAAAUUUUGCAAGUUGGUUGGAUAGUGGCCACAAGUUGCUAUUUACUCAUUAAAUUCCAGGUCAUAAUGAAUGCAUUUAUAUCGCUAUCAGAUAUAGGCAUCUUGUAUUAGAUCAACAUUAGUCAAGGCAGGAAGCCAGAACUAGCUUAUCUAAUAUUUCUAUACAUAGUCCCAUUAAACUGAAAAACUACAAGUUCAGAGACCAAUUAUUACAACAAAAGUUCACAUAUACAUAGUUCUACUUAUAAAGUGAAAAGGUAAAACCUAAACUAUAGUAAAGAACAUUUUCUAAAGAAAAUGACACAGUGGCAUAGUGAUCCAUGUUAGCAAGGAUUUCAAGAACAAUUCUGACAAAUAUAAAAGAAAGCAAAUUUUUGAUGAAAAGCUCAUAAAUUUUAGGCAAGAUUAAAACAAAGUUUGGAAUGUGUUACACUUGAAAUAACAAGCCAUGACAUUUUCUAAAAAAAAGUUUUUAAGUUACUUAUAUUGACAUUCAUUAUCUAUAUAGCCAGCAAGGUUUGCAACACUUUAUAUGGACCAUCCUGUGUCUUUUGUUUUCAGAAUGCUUAGCUCCCAUCUAAAGUCAUAUUAUUUCUACAAUCCAUUUCCACCAUAACCAACUGAUUGACUGGUUGAUUGACAGGAGAUUACUACAUAUUCAUAAAGGAAUUCAAAAAGGACUUGCCAACAGGAACCAUGAUAGCGUGUAACCACAAUUAAAUACAAACACAUAGAGGCCUUUUAGUUACACCAUUUAAAGCUUUCUUGAAAGCAAAUAGAUAGCAUUCUUUUUGGAACAAAAAGCAGACAAUGUUCAACAGCAACAAUGCAGUCUCCAGUACAGUAUUGAGUCUCCCGACAAGAGAGAAACAUUAAAAUCUGUCAUAGUCUCAUUUAUUUGAAGAAAGAAAUAAGCAAUGAGCAUUGAAUACUUUUCAAAACAGUGACACAAUUUUCAACUACUGUAUACAGAGUUUAAACAUGAACAUCUAAAGAUCAGACCUUUUAAGUGCAUCAUCGAUGGCUUUCAGUAUUAAAAACACUUCACAACACUAAAUGAAAGGUGACAAUUACCACUUUUUGAGAAACAUCGUAUGUCAAAACAUUGCAUAGCCAGGCCAAAACAUGACACAAUACCCUGCUGUCCUGCUAGUGAUCACAUGACACCCAAAUAUACCCUCUUCUUUGGGAUAAAUUAUACACAUGGUGAGCUAGUCUUACCUGCCACUCAAAGCUCUAUGAUAGGAACAUUAUCAUUUUACAAAAUAGCUAUUGAGAAAAAUUAGAGGUUACAUUUAAUGUUGACAUUUAUUUUAAAUGUUAACUGAAACCUUGCUGUGGGACUGAUUUACUGUUAAAAUUCUCGUCAAACUUUACCUUAACAAAACUAUACUAUUUAUAGACAGGGUUCUAUAUAGGUGUUUUUUUAAAUCAAUAGUAAAAAAAUAAAUACUUAACAUAAUAAUGAUCCCCAGGAGAUCUUGUGUUUUUCCAUCUACCUAAAAUUAAUAAACAUGAAUAUCAUUUGUUUAUGGCAUAAAUUCAAAGCUUUAACCCUUUCACUGCUAGAACUUUGUAAUACUUUUCCCAUCACUCUAACGCAAAGGGUUAAUUGAAAUGUUUUGUGCAGUAGUGCUCACGUGCACUAAUCUGUUAUAUGACAAGCAUGGGGGAAAAGAUAUUUAAUUUCUUAUAUUUUAAUGUACGCAAUAUAAUCUUCAGUAAUUAUAAUCCAUAUAUAAAUAAAUUAUAUUAAUACUUAUUCUUUCUGAGUUGUACAGAUAGAUCUGUACGAGGAACAUAUUUUCUAGAAAUGAAAUGUGCCUUUGACUUUCUAGGUUACCAAUAAAAUAUAUAUCUUAAAUACUAUCUAAUGCCGUCAUUUCAAGCACCACAAGAUAGGGUAAUAUAUGAGAAGCAGAAAUGGAAUAAAGAAUGCUAUGAUUUUGAUUUAAACGUAAUUCAUAAAUAUUGAGCAUUUCUUGGAGCUACAAGCAGGAAUAUUCACAUGGUAAUUGCAUAUAGGUGGAGAUUGUUCCAUAUUUAGCAAUUUACCCUAGAAUCGCUCUAGAGUUUUUUCUUGCUAACAUUAAAUAACAUGUUCUGCUAGACUUGAAUAGAUACUCAAAUGUAAAAGGUGCUCUGCAGGUAGCUACUCAAAAUGUCACAAGCAUUCAGCAGGCAAUACAACUGUGACUUGCAGUAUAAUUCAACAAUAUGCGAUGAAGCUAUGUGAACUAGAUCACAGACCAGUUGUACUUGAUAAAUCAAUGGAACUAGCAGCUGUAAACGAAGCAGUAUGUCUGCAGGCUCAUGUGCUUUAAAAGAACAUAAUCUGAGUUUUUUUUUCCUAAGCUAUAAUGACAUUCACAGCCCGAUAUACAAUUUGUCUUUAGAACGGAAAUUGAAUGUAUUGAAUGUCAAGAAUGUCAAUCUAUAAAGAAUCCACCCUAUAAUAUCUGUUUGUGAUGCAGAAUCCACUAGGAAAAAUUAAGUAUGCACAUUGAGAUAGUUCCUGAGAAAAAAAUGCUAGUAAGUGGCAUAGUCACACACUCGCACACACAUGCACGCGCACACACACACGCACACAUACACACAAAUAUGCAUACACACACAUUUGCACUAAAUAGCUAGCUCAUUUAAUUGUGUUUGUAAUUAUGUUGCAAUUUAGUAAACAACUCAAAAUCUCUAAGUAGUGAUGUCCCGAACGGUUCGCCGAACGGUUCGCGAACGGUUCGCCACGAAAGGUUCGCCACGGACUCAUCAUUGAGUAAACUUUGACCCUGUACCUCACAGUCAGCAGACACAUUCC